CUGUCAGUCGGAUCUCGCGAGAGAGGACGGAAGCCUGUGGGAGCCCGUGGCCUUUAAAGUGCGAUUCAGCCCUCUCCUCCGGGGCUAGUUUGUAAACACGGCUGGGCUCCGGGCUCCCGGGUGGCUGAAGGGACCAUGAAUUAGUGACCUGGAGAGAGGUCCCCGGGGCGUCCUUCGGAUCCGCCCAGCUGACGGGGAGACCCCCGCCGCAAGCCCUUGGUCGGGCCGCGAGAGGGCCCACGCUGGGCCCCCCACCCAGGACUCAGGCGAUCGAGGACCGCGGGGUUUGGGAUGGUGCGGUGCACAAGGAUUGGAGAGCGUGGCUGACAAUCUGGCCGGGGUCUCCGGCUACGGUGGAGCGUGAUGGAGCCAAUGAGGCACUAGAUGGCAACUUGGGAAGUGCUGCUUUCUUAGCAAGAGCUUCGAGAGCCCUGUCAACAAAGCAAAGCUCAUGGCCCACCAGCUACCAAGUGUCUUUGCCAUGA
rnacentral:lncRNA from 1 species